rnacentral:rRNA from 1 species
UACGUAGGGGGCAAGCGUUGUCCGGAUUUAUUGGGUGUAAAGAGCGUGUAGGCGGCCAGACAGGUCCGUUGUGAAAACUCGAGGCUCAACCUCGAGACGCCGAUGGAAACCGUCUGGCUAGAGUCCGGAAGAGGAGAGUGGAAUUCCUGGUGUAGCGGUGAAAUGCGCAGAUAUCAGGAAGAACACCCGUGGCUAAGGCGGCUCUCUAGUACGGUACUGGACGCUGAGACGCGAAAGCGUGGGGAGCGAACAGG